UGGGGGAUAUUGCACAAUGGGCGAAAGCCUGAUGCAGCGACGCCGCGUGGGGGAUGAAGGCCUUCGGGUUGUAAACUUCUUUUGCUCUGAACAAGGCAUGCUAAUGGGUGUGUUGAGUGUAGGGGUUGAUUAGCGCCGGCUAACUACGUGCCAGCAGCCGCGGUAAUACGUAGGGCGCGAGCGUUGUCCGGAAUUAUUGGGCGUAAAGGGCUUGUAGGUGGCUGGUUGCGUCUGUCGUGAAAGCUCAUGGCUUAACUGUAGGUGUGCGGUGGGUACGGGCUGGCGUGCGUGCAGUAGGGGAGGCUGGAAUUCCUGGUGUAGCGGUGGAAUGCGCAGAUAUCAGGAGGAAUACCGGUGGCGAAGGCGGGUCUCUGGGCUGUUACUGACACUGAGGAGCGAAAGCAUGGGGAGCGAACAGG
rnacentral:rRNA from 1 species